UACGGAGGGUGCACGCGUUAAUCGGACUUCCUGGGCGUAACGCGCACGCAGUCGGUUUGUUAAGUCCGAUGUGAAAUCCCCGAGCUUAACUUGGGAACUGCAUUUGAAACUGGCAAGCUAGAGUCUUGUAGAGGGGGGUAGAAUUCCAGGUGUAGCGGUGAAAUGCGUAGAGAUCUGGAGGAAUACCGGUGGCGAAGGCGGCCCCCUGGACAAAGACUGACGCUCAGGUGCGAAAGCGUGGGGAGCAAACAGG
rnacentral:rRNA from 1 species